CGCCGUAAGCCCAAGGUUUCCUGUUCAACGUUCAUCGGAGCAGGGUGAGUCGGCCCCUAAGGCGAGGCAGAGAUGCGUAGCUGAUGGGAAGCAGGUUAAUAUUCCUGCACCGUCGUUAGAUGCGAUGGGGGGACGGAUCGCGGAAGGUUGUCCGACUGUUGGAAUAGUCGGUUUUUGCAUCGAAGAAGGCUGUUAGGCAAAUCCGGCAGCGUAAUUCAAGGGUGUGAGACGAGCGAACUUGUUCGCGAAGCAAUCGGAAGUGGUUCCAAGAAAAGCCUCUAAGCUUCAGUCUAACGAGACCGUACCGCAAACCGACACAGGUGGGCGAGAUGAGUAUUCUAAGGCGCUUGAGAGAACUCGGGAGAAGGAACUCGGCAAAUUGGUACCGUAACUUCGGGAUAAGGAGGCCCAAUGCUUGCGCAAGCAGGUGUUGGGGGCACAAGCCAGGGGGUGGCAACUGUUUAACAAAAACACAGGGCUCUGCGAAAUCAUGAAGAUGACGUAUAGGGUCUGACGCCUGCCCGGUGCCGGAAGGUUAAGAGGAGAGGUGCAAGCUUUGAAUCGAAGCCCCGGUAAACGGCGAGCCGUAACUAUAACGGUCUCUAAGGUAGCGAAAUUCCUUGUCGGGUAAGUUCCGACCUGCACGAAUGGCGUAACGAUUUCCCCACUGUCUCCUCCCGAGACUCAGCGAAGUUGAAAUGUUUGUGAUGAUGCAAUCUACCCGCGGCUAGACGGAAAGACCCAUGAACCUUUACUGUAGCUUUGCAUUGGACUUUGAACCAAUCUGUGUAGGAUAGGUGGGAGGCUUUGAAGCAGGAACGCUAGUUUCUGUGGAGCCGACCUUGAAAUACCACCCUGGUUUGUUUGAGGUUCUAACCUUGGUCCGUUAUCCGGAUCGGGGACAGUGCAUGGUAGGCAGUUUGACUGGGGCGGUCUCCUCCCAAAGUGUAACGGAGGAGUUCGAAGGUACGCUAGGUACGGUCGGACAUCGUGCUAAUAGUGCAAUGGCAUAAGCGUGCUUAACUGCGAGACUGACAAGUCGAGCAGGUACGAAAGUAGGACAUAGUGAUCCGGUGGUUCUGUAUGGAAGGGCCAUCGCUCAACGGAUAAAAGGUACUCUGGGGAUAACAGGCUGAUUCCUCCCAAGAGUUCAUAUCGACGGGGGAGUUUGGCACCUCGAUGUCGGCUCAUCACAUCCUGGGGCUGUAGCCGGUCCCAAGGGUAUGGCUGUUCGCCAUUUAAAGUGGUACGUGAGCUGGGUUUAAAACGUCGUGAGACAGUUUGGUCCCUAUCUGCCGUGGGCGUUGGAAGUUUGAAGGGGGCUGCUCCUAGUACGAGAGGACCGGAGUGGACGAACCUCUGGUGUAUCGGUUGUCACGCCAGUGGCAUUGCCGAGUAGCUAAGUUCGGAAGAGAUAACCGCUGAAAGCAUCUAAGCGGGAAACUCGCCUUGAGAUGAGACUUCCCGGGAACUAGAUUCCCCUAAAGGGUCGUUCGAGACCAGGACGUUGAUAGGUCAGGUGUGGAAGCGCAGUAAUGCGUUAAGCUAACUGAUACUAAUUGCCC
rfam:Oryza sativa (indica cultivar-group) chromosome 10, whole genome shotgun sequence.